CAUGCUUAGGAUGUUGACAUAAUGGCUUUAAACGACCCGUCUUGUAACACGGACCAAGGAGUCUAACAUAUCUGCGAGUAUUUGGGUGUCAAACCCGAGUGCGCAAUGAAAGUGAACGUAGGAGCGAUGCGCAAGCUGCAGCUUCGACCGAUCUGGAUCUUUAGUGAUGGAUUUGAGUAAGAGCAUAUAUGUUGGGACCCGAAAGAUGGUGAACUAUGCCUGAGCAGGGCGAAGCCAGAGGAAACUCUGGUGGAGGCUCGCAGCGGUUCUGACGUGCAAAUCGAUCGUCAAAUUUGCGUAUAGGGGCGAAAGACUAAUCGAACC
rnacentral:rRNA from 1 species